rnacentral:rRNA from 1 species
UAUACCGUGAAACUGCGAAUGGCUCAUUAAAUCAGUUAUCGUUUAUUUGAUAGUACCUUACUACUUGGAUAACCGUGGUAAUUCUAGAGCUAAUACAUGCUAAAAACCUCGACUUCGGAAGGGGUGUAUUUAUUAGAUAAAAAACCAAUGCCCUUCGGGGCUCACUGGUGAUUCAUAAUAACUUAACGAAUCGCAUGGCCUUGUGCCGGCGAUGGUUCAUUCAAAUUUCUGCCCUAUCAACUUUCGAUUGUUGGGUCUUGGCCAACAAUGGUUUCAACGGGUAACGGGGAAUUAGGGUUCUAUUCCGGAGAGGGAGCCUGAGAAACGGCUACCACAUCCAAGGAAGGCAGCAGGCGCGCAAAUUACCCAAUCCUGAUACAGGGAGGUAGUGACAAUAAAUACUGAUACAGGGCUCUUUUGGGUCUUGUAAUUGGAAUGAGUACAAUUUAAAUCCCUUAACGAGGAACAAUUGGAGGGCAAGUCUGGUGCCAGCAGCCGCGGUAAUUCCAGCUCCAAUAGCGUAUAUUAAAGUUGUUGCAGUUAAAAAGCUCGUAGUUGAACCUUGGGCCUGGCUGGCCGGUCCGCCUCACCGCGUGCACUGGUCCGGCCGGGCCUUUCCUUCUGGGGAGCCGCAUGCCCUUCACUGGGUGUGUCGGGGAACCAGGACUUUUACUUUGAAAAAAUUAGAGUGUUCAAAGCAGGCCUAUGCUCGAAUACAUUAGCAUGGAAUAAUAGAAUAGGACGUGUGGUUCUAUUUUGUUGGUUUCUAGGACCGCCGUAAUGAUUAAUAGGGACAGUUGGGGGCAUCAGUAUUUAAUUGUCAGAGGUGAAAUUCUUGGAUUUAUUAAAGACUAACUACUGCGAAAGCAUUUGCCAAAGAUGUUUUCAUUAAUCAGUGAACGAAAGUUAGGGGAUCGAAGACGAUCAGAUACCGUCGUAGUCUUAACCAUAAACUAUGCCGACUAGGGAUCGGGCGAUGUUAUCUUUUUGACUCGCUCGGCACCUUACGAGAAAUCAAAGUCUUUGGGU